CGACGAACUCUGGUAUUGAUUGGUGCUUGCAUCAUGAUUUACAUUUGAGUGAGUGGCGAACUGGUGAGUAACACGUGGGAAACCUGCCCAGAAGCGGGGGAUAACACCUGGAAACAGAUGCUAAUACCGCAUAACAACUUGGACCGCAUGGUCCGAGCUUGAAAGAUGGCUUCGGCUAUCACUUUUGGAUGGUCCCGCGGCGUAUUAGCUAGAUGGUGGGGUAACGGCUCACCAUGGCAAUGAUACGUAGCCGACCUGAGAGGGUAAUCGGCCACAUUGGGACUGAGACACGGCCCAAACUCCUACGGGAGGCAGCAGUAGGGAAUCUUCCACAAUGGACGAAAGUCUGAUGGAGCAACGCCGCGUGAGUGAAGAAGGGUUUCGGCUCGUAAAACUCUGUUGUUAAAGAAGAACAUAUCUGAGAGUAACUGUUCAGGUAUUGACGGUAUUUAACCAGAAAGCCACGGCUAACUACGUGCCAGCAGCCGCGGUAAUACGUAGGUGGCAAGCGUUGUCCGGAUUUAUUGGGCGUAAAGCGAGCGCAGGCGGUUUUUUAAGUCUGAUGUGAAA
rnacentral:rRNA from 1 species